UGGCGGCAUGCUUUACACAUGCAAGUCGAACGGUAACAGGGAGCUUGCUCCGCUGACGAGUGGCGAACGGGUGAGUAAUGCAUCGGAACGUACCCAGUCGUGGGGGAUAACGUAGCGAAAGUUACGCUAAUGCCGCAUACGUCCUGAGGGAGAAAGCGGGGGACCGAAAGGCCUCGCGCGAUUGGAGCGGCCGAUGUCGGAUUAGCUAGUUGGUAGGGUAAAGGCCUACCAAGGCGACGAUCCGUAGCGGGUCUGAGGGGAUGAUCCGCCACACUGGGACUGAGACACGGGCCAGACUCCUACGGGAGGCAGCAGUGGGGAAUUUUGGACAAUGGGCGCAAAUCUGAUCCAGCCAUGCCGCGUGAAUGAAGAAGGCCUUCGNNUUGUAAAGCUC
rnacentral:rRNA from 1 species